AGUGAACGCUGGCGGUAGGCCUAACACAUGCAAGUCGAACGGCAGCACAGUAAGAGCUUGCUCUUACGGGUGGCGAGUGGCGGACGGGUGAGGAAUACAUCGGAAUCUACUUUUUCGUGGGGGAUAACGUAGGGAGACUUACGCUAAUACCGCAUACGACCUACGGGUGAAAGCAGGGGAUCUUCGGACCUUGCGCGAUUGAAUGAGCCGAUGUCGGAUUAGCUAGUUGGCGGGGUAAAGGCCCACCAAGGCGACGAUCCGUAGCUGGUCUGAGAGGAUGAUCAGCCACACUGGAACUGAGACACGGUCCAGACUCCUACGGGAGGCAGCAGUGGGGAAUAUUGGAUAAUGGGCGCAAGCCUGAUCCAGCCAUACCGCGUGGGUGAAGAAGGCCUUCGGGUUGUAAAGCCCUUUUGUUGGGAAAGAAAAGCAGCAGGUUAAUACCCCGCUGUUCUGACGGUACCCAAAGAAUAAGCACCGGCUAACUUCGUG
rnacentral:rRNA from 1 species